GCUGCUGACCAGCGGAUCACACUUCAGGAGCAGAAGCCCGGAAGUCUUAAACUGUGGCGGCAACAGGAACCAGCGGUCCACCUUCCGAAACCCUGGUGUGUGGGGAAAGCUGCGCUCGUGUGGGCAGCUUUGGCACAGAGUCCUGGCACUGUGGAUGAAGAGAGGCGUCAGCACUUUUCAAACAACAAACUAGCAGCAGAAGUACGCGGGCCUCUCACUGUUGUGGCCUCUCCCGUUGCAGAGCACAG